rnacentral:tRNA from 1 species
GCCGGUGUGGUGGAAUGGUAGACACAAGGGACUUAAAAUCCCUCGCUGGCAACAGCGUACCGGUUCGAGUCCGGUUACCGGCACCA